CACAGACCCUGUUCCAGAGAGGAAGCUGAUGUAUUCAGGCAAUGGUAUACUGGACCCUGCUCCAGAGCGUAGGUACAGGCAGGCCUAUUUUUCCAGGUAUAGGUGGAAAUGGAGGAAAAAGUCCAACAAAAAAACACACCCGUUGCCGCCAGCCUCACCUCUGCCACCAUAUGAGGAGGAAAACUGGGAGGAGGAGAUAUAUGGAUUUGCUCCAUAUGGCCCAGAGGAUGUGGAUAGAGUGGCCCUACAGGGUUGACCCUGAACCAGGCCCCCUGCGUUCCCCACCCCCAGACAGCAACCGACUACAGCCCUGCCACCCACCACCAAGCCCCCAUCAAAUGGGUCCGCCACAUCAUCCGCAGCGUGGAGGAGCAGUUUGUCGACGCAGAGGUUUGAGGUCCGGAUUAUUUUCCUGCUGUAGCAAACUGCCGACCCCUCCCACACUCUACACCCUCAGUUUGAGAGAAUUCCCUC